CCACAUGCAUCUCACCCACCACCGCCAUUAAAACACCACCAACAACAACAACAACAUCCCAAACAACAACAACAUCCCAAACAACAACAACAACCCAAACAACAACAACAUCCCAAACAACAACAACAUCCCAAACAACAACAACAACCCAAACAACAACAACAUCCCAAACAACAACAGCAACAACAACAACAAGAAAAAUGGCAAUAACAACUCACCUAGGGUUUUCAAUUUUUUUCUUUGAUUUUGGAGAUCUCCGAAGAUUUUCAACGUGAUUUAGCUUCUUUCAAGUGCCAACAACUUUCUCCGCUGCCGAUGUACGCUGCCGCCGACAAUCUAUAGAACUUCCGGUGAUGAGAUUUUGGUGAGAGGGGAAGGAAUUUGCUUGAGGGAAACGUGAGAAUGAGGAGGGUAAUUUCGUCCAAAAUGUGGUGAUUUGGCUAAUGUUGAAAGAAAAAAAUUUGAGGGGUUAAAGUUGAAAAAUGCCUUCUUUUUUUGGCUUGUUUUGUAAAUUUCCCAUUCAACUUCACACGGUCAAUAAAUACGAAUCACGUCCUGCGCACGAGUCACAGCGUUGAAAUGGAUUAGGAUGCAGCGUCAACAUAAUAACUCUGGUGGGUUGUCAAUUUGUUUUUUAAAAUUGGAGGGCCCCACUUGCAAUUUGAACGAACGGCAUCGGUGUCAGGAUUUUUAGGACAUAAUUUUGGGGCAACUUGAUAAUUGGUCCCACUAAUCUAAAAUCUUAAAGGAAUACACAAAUUGAUGGUUCCUUAUCCUCAAAACUUUACCUUAAAAUUUUUAUUAAAAUAAUGUUAAGAUUCGUAUUCCGAAAAUCCAUACUGUUUUUCUUUUUUUUUUCUUUUAAUUAAAGUUUGAAUAAGGAAAGUUUUGGUAUGCGACGGAUGGUUUGCAGUGGGCACAAUAAUUAUUUCAAAUAGAUUUAAUGUGAAGGAUGUAUUCAAUAAUUUAUUUGAUAGUGGUCGAAGAAAAAGAAAUUCAAUAAAGUUUAAGAAAAUUUUCUUCACGAAUUUUUGAAAUGGAACAUAAAAAAAUCUUUCUAUCAAAAGAGCUUUCUCUACAACAAUUAAAAAUAAAUAAUCAUCGUGUGCGGGAUUUUUCUUAUUUUGUAA
rnacentral:lncRNA from 1 species